GGCCGGAGAUUAAGCGUGUUGUGAAAUGUAGUGGCUCAACCUCUGCACUGCAGCGCGAACUGGUCUUCUUGAGUACGCACAACGUGGGCGGAAUUCGUGGUGUAGCGGUGAAAUGCUUAGAUAUCACGAAGAACUCCGAUUGCGAAGGCAGCUCACGGGAGCGCAACUGACGCUGAAGCUCGAAAGUGCGGGUAUCGAACAGGAUUAGAUACCCUGGUAGUCCGCACGGUAAACGAUGGAUGCCCGCUGUUGGCCUGAAUAGGUCAGCGGCCAAGCGAAAGCAUUAAGCAUCCCACCUGGGGAGUACGCCGGCAACGGUGAAACUCAAAGGAAUUGACGGGGGCCCGCACAAGCGGAGGAACAUGUGGUUUAAUUCGAUGAUACGCGAGGAACCUUACCCGGGCUUGAAUUGCAGAGGAAGGAUUUGGAGACAAUGACGCCCUUCGGGGUCUCUGUGAAGGUGCUGCAUGGUUGUCGUCAGCUCGUGCCGUGAGGUGUCGGCUUAAGUGCCAUAACGAGCGCAACCCCUCUCCUCAGUUGCCAUCAGGUUAAGCUGGGCACUCUGUGGACACUGCCACCGUAAGGUGUGAGGAAGGUGGGGAUGACGUCAAAUCAGCACGGCCCUUACGUCCGGGGCUACACACGUGUUACAAUGGCAGGUACAGAGAGAGGGUCGUUCGCAAGUACGAUCAAAUCCUUAAAGCCUGUCUCAGUUCGGACUGGGGUCUGCAACCCGACCCCACGAAGCUGGAUUCGCUA
rnacentral:rRNA from 1 species